rnacentral:rRNA from 1 species
CAAUAGCGUAUAUUAAAGUUGUUGCGGUUAAAAAGCUCGUAGUUGGAUUUCUGCUGAGGACGAUCGGUCCGCCCACUGGGUGAGUAUCUGGCUCGGCCUUGGCAUCUUCUUGGAGAACGUUGCUGCACUUGACUGCGUGGUGCGGUAUCCAGGACUUUUACUUUGAGGAAAUUAGAGUGUUUCAAGCAGGCGCACGCCUUGAAUACAUUAGCAUGGAAUAAUAAGAUAGGACCUUAGUUCUAUUUUGUUGGUUUCUAGAGCUGAGGUAAUGAUUAAUAGGGAUAGUUGGGGGCAUUCGUAUUUAACUGUCAGAGGUGAAAUUCUUGGAUUUGUUAAAGACGGACUACCGCGAAAGCAUUUGCCAAGGAUGUUUUCAUUGA